rnacentral:rRNA from 1 species
GACGAACGCUGGCGGCGUGCUUAACACAUGCAAGUCGAACGGAAAGGCCCUGCUUUUGUGGGUUGCUCGAUUGGCGAACGGGUGAGUAACACGUGAGUAACCUGCCCUUGACUUUGGGAUAACUUCAGGAAACUGGGGCUAAUACCGGAUAGGAUCUCCUGCUGCAUGGUGGGGGUUGGAAAGUUUCGGCGGUUGGGGAUGGAAUCGCGGCUUAUCAGCUUGUUGGUGGGGUAGUGGCUUACCAAGGCUUUGACGGGUAGCCGGCCUGAGAGGGUGACCGGCCACAUUGGGACUGAGAUAGGGACCAGAAUCCUACGGGAGGCAGCAGGGGAGAAUAUUGCACAAUGGGCGGAAGCCAGAUGCAGAAACGCCGCGUGCGGGAUGACGGCCUUCGGGGUGUAAACCGAUUUCGCCUGUGACGAAGAGUGAGUGACGGUAAUGGGUAAAGAAGCACCGGCUAACUACGUG